UCCUGGGUAGGGAGCAGGUCUAUCUGUUUAUGAACACAAGAUGUAAUCAAAUUAGCUGGUAUAAGAUGGAUUUUUCAUCUUUUCCAAGCUGCAUGAACUACAGCCACCCCUAGGAGGAGACAACCUAUCACAUAUCUCAAACAAGAUCUGCAGACAGAAUCGUAGGCAGCUCUUGAUACAGAUACUCACCACCAUUACCUUUGAAGGACUGCUACUCCAUUGUCUCUCCCUCCCUCCCUCUCUUCCAUCCUGAACUUCGUGCUUAUCAUCCCCUUUCUUUACAGUAUCAACACGUUUUGUUAAUAAUAUAAUGCAUGUUUUGAACUUUAAAUACAUGAACUCAUACUGGAUGUAUUCUUCUACCAGUCAUUGGUUCCCUGCUGCUGGCUGACCACUGUGCACUAGCUAACUUCAAUGACCCUAGCAGCAAAGGUAGGGUAAAAGACAACGCUGCCUCCUCUGGCUCUUCUGACAGAGGUGUUCAAAGAAUCUAAACUGAUAUUUCUCAGGGCAUGGUGGCACAAACUAUCCCUGGCCACCACCCAGUUUUUCUUCCUUGCCCUCAUACACUGAAACCUAAUACCACAGACACAUGGCCAAGCUUGCAAAUGGUCUGCCUGAAAUCUGAACCUGUGUAAUGGAACAUAAAUCUGCCAGAUACCUGCAUGAUCAGAGUGCAGAAUAACAAACAGUGCUCCUGGCAGUUUAACAGAGUUUCAAAGUGUGUGCACAUGCGCACAUAUACACAUCCCUUCCCCCU